CACGUCGCUGCAAUUUAAUAGGAUUGUCAGGACAUCAAGAAGAGGAUUCAGCACCAUAGAAUACAGUUAAGCGAAGAAGUUGUGAGGAGUAGACAUCAUGACGGCCGCUACUACCAUAUCGACUAUCUCUCGCUAACUGUCAAAAGCCACACGCCCAAAAUCUAGCUAUGACCGCUACCCAAGGUAGUCGACAAGAGCCUCUCGAGGUCAAAACACGCCAGUCGUUACUACAACAACUAGGAGAUUAUCCACCAACUCUAACAAUCUCCGAAUCAAUACAAAACCUUUAGCUAUGACCACAGCCAAAGCCUGUCAACCAAGCGCAACAGCGCAGGAAACACCGUUAGGCCGAUCGGGAAAAAUCGUGCAUCUGGAAAACGCAGUGAGCAAUAUCUUUCAUCUACCUCCUCGUGAGUACAGUAACAAGUCUAGCUAUGUCCACUACCCAAGGUAGUCAACAAAAUCAUCGUCGAUGCAAAAACACGUCUAUCGUCACCACCACCUCAUCUGCCAUGCUCGACGACUCCGGAAGAAGGCGCCGUCUGAAGGAGAUCAUUCGCAGCAGCAUCAACAUCCGAUUUUGUCCCACAAACACGAACACUGCUUAACAAGCACUGUAUCAACAGGACAACGCCCAGUGUUGCUUGAAAGAGGUUGCAAGUUUUCUUUUGACUUUCUCCUAGUCCGGAGGACCAUAAUUCGACCAAGCAUCCUGGAUGAAAGAAGAACCGAAUAGUGACAUCUAUAAACAAUCCCGAUUACGACAACCCGAUUAAGAUUACCCGAUUGAGACAACCUUCAACCAAUCAUGAACUCCCAAUCAAGACCACCCGAUCAAGUCCACCCGAUCAAGUCCACCCGAUCAAGACUACCCGAUCAAAAACAACCCGAUCAAGACUACCCGAUGAAGACUACCCACAACCAACCAAGACGACCCGAUCAAGACUUAACCGAUCAAGACUAUUUUCAACCAACCGAUCAAGACUUCCCGAUUAAGACUCCCGAUCAAGAAAUUGGUCGUUGAAACAAAAAACAAUCUCCCAACAUCCCCUAUAAAAGCCAAAAGACCUACUACGGUCAAAGCCAUUAAUACACAAUAGAACAUCGUUUAGAAUAAGUGCCGACAGUAAAACUGUCUUCUAUAAAUGCGAAAUCGUAUUAAAAUCGUAUGUUAAGGAUCAUGCACAGUUGUCAAAGGGGGUUGCCAAGACAAUUCAAAAGGAACGCGAUCUGGAGGCGCGGUAAAACCUCUAUCUUGGGCUCUUCGUAACUUAGAGGACUAAAUCCCUCUCUUCCCUAGACUUCUGUUGCUUCGUUUUAACCAGUAUACCAGUACCGCCUAGUAUGUUUCGUUAAGUCCUACUCGUAAGAUCUCAGUCAUUCUUCAUUACAAUGGCUAUUAGAUCUAGGAUAUUUGUAAGCUGCUAAAGUGGGAGUAAUAUUGUUGAAUUUUCUCAGAGUUCGAUGGAAAAAUCUGCCACAUUUGCUGGUACCUACCGACACAAUCUGCCAUAAUUCGAUGGCUUAGAGUUGUAGUUGUAUUUGGACAUUUGCCAAAAUUGUUGGUAUCGAGUACCGUUUGUAUUGAGUUUGUUUAUUGAGCCGGAGACACCUAUAGAGAAGGUGAUAAGCUUCCGAGAUUGGAUCGGAAAGUAGUCGUUGAACUCCAUCGAAUUUCUAGAACAGGAUAAGAAAUUUUCAUGGAUCCCUGUCAUGAUCCAUGAAAAUUUCUGCCUAAGCAGCAAUGUUGUGUUACAAUUUAAAUUUCAUUUGAUGUUUCUAGUCCUAAAUAAUAUGAUACGAUAAUUUGGCAACCAAAAAACCCAUCCCCAUGUUGAUAAUUCAUAGCGUGUCGUUAAAAUUUACCCAAAAACACGACAAAAUACUCGGCGUGUAAAAUACACGGUAUUUCACGUUUAGCGUGAGCUGGAAAACCCGGGAAAUGUCAUUAUCAUUUCCGUCCGGGUGCGAAUAAGAAAAACGAUCGCCACGAGAGCGAAGUGUAGCGAGGUAGUGUUUCACACAGGAAAAUCGGAGGAAAAUCGGAGGAAACCCGCAAACGACAGCUCCUCAGCACUGAAAGGAAAAGCUCCGACAAGGCGCAUACCAGCCACGCGGCACGUGCUCGCGGAAGAAGCGUAGAGGGCAGAGCCCCACUGGAAGGUGCACACACGCCCACCUAAAAGGGUAAAUUCGAGCUCAAGACUGCGGAAAAGAAAAAGAAGAACAAGAGGGUCGCUCAGGCGGCCUUCUUUUAUCCACCAUCAAGCACCUUCGAGGUUUCCAUCGAUUCCUGCAACUUUUGCCGGAGGAAAGGUGGCAUUUAGCCAUUCAGCAUCUCCGGAACUCUCGGCUAUAACUGCCAGCCUCGCCUCGGCCACAACGUGCCCGCGCUGGCAACUUCAAAGGUGGCAAUUAGCCAUUUAACAUCACCGGGAGUCUCGGCUACAACUGCCUGCCUUCUCUCGGCUAGAACGCACCCGCGGUGCAACAUCAAAGGUGGCGUUGAGCCACACAGCAUCCUCGUAGAGACACUUUGUUUCUAAGGCUCCCGUAGGCGUAGCAUCUAUUGUGGAAAUUAGCCAUUCGACUUCACCGACAGUCUCAACUGCACCUUUCGGCUGCACCUGCAGCGGUGCAAUCAACUGUGGCAUCUGACCACUUAUUGUCAUCUGCAGCUUCAACUGCACUUUACGGCUGCACCGGCGGUCGUGGAAUCAACUGUGGCCUUUGGCCAUCCACUAACAUCGGCAGUCUCGGCUCUACUCAUCGACUGCAUCUGCGGUCGUCGCAUCAACGGUACCAUUUGGCCACUCAUCUUUGGCAGUUUCAAUUGCACUUUUCGACUGCAUCCGCGGUCGUUACAUCAACUGUGGCAUCGGGCCACCUAUCAUCAUUGGCAGCUUCGACUGCACUUCUCGGCUGCACCUGCAGUGGUGCAAUCAACGGUGGCAUUUGGCCACUUACCAUCAUCGGAAGUUGCGACCGCACUUUUCAACUACACCCGCUAUCGUCGAAUCGACUGUGGCAUUGGGCCAUUCAUCAUCAACGGCACUACUCGGCUACAUCGCGGUCGUCGCAACAACGGAACACAUCGGUAAAUUCAUUUGGGGCAUGAUGCCGGAGGCGGCGAGAGGAGGUUUGCCCACACCAAGGCGGAAGAGGAAAAGCUUCGUGGCCACUCAGUGCGCUGCAGCGCCUUCAUGGAGAAUGCCGUAAGUUAAAUAGAAUCUGAAUGAAAAUGCUAUGGGGGAAAUGUGGGUAAAAUGUUGCAAGAUCUAUAAAGAAACUCAAAUUUAAAGUUAUCGAGCGUUAUUAAUUUCGUAGCUUCGACUACGGUAAGCAAUCCGUCACAAAGUGAAUGGAUGUCGGAUGAAACUUGGAGGAUGGUCGAUGAUCGGAGAAAGGCGAAAGUCGGAAUUGAGCAGGCAUGUACCGCCCGCAUAAUUGAGGAUUGUUACCAAACAAUUUCCUCAAUAGUCAAACGAAGAUUUG